GAUGAACGCUGGCGGCGUGCUUAACACAUGCAAGUCGAACGGAAAGGCUCCUGCUUGCAGGGGUACUCGAGUGGCGAACGGGUGAGUAACACGUGGGUGAUCUGCCCUGUACUUCGGGAUAAGCUUGGGAAACUGGGUCUAAUACCGGAUAGGACAACUUUUUGGAUAUUGUUGUGGAAAGCUUUUGCGGUAUGGGAUGAGCUCGCGGCCUAUCAGCUUGUUGGUGGGGUAAUGGCCUACCAAGGCGUCGACGGGUAGCCGGCCUGAGAGGGUGUACGGCCACAUUGGGACUGAGAUACGGCCCAGACUCCUACGGGAGGCAGCAGUGGGGAAUAUUGCACAAUGGGCGCAAGCCUGAUGCAGCGACGCCGCGUGGGGGAUGAAGGCCUUCGGGUUGUAAACUCCUUUCGCUAGGGACGAAGCUUUUUUGUGACGGUACCUGGAGAAGAAGCACCGGCUAACUACGUG
rnacentral:rRNA from 1 species